AAGGCGGAGCUACUGAGUCAAGUCAACACUGGUUCCUUUGGUGAAGGGAAGAGGAGGUGAUUUGCUCUGUGGAAGCGGCAGCAGCAGGCAGGCUUCUUUUGAUUGCCGAAGGUGCUUUUGUGAAAGUCUAGCAAAUGAACGCUCUCUCAUAUAACUUCACAAUGGAUAGAGGAUAGAUGAGUUACAGAACUUGAACACUUAAACGUAGAAUGUAGUUUUGGGGCGGCAGGCAACCUAGUGGUUAGAGUGUUGGGCCAGUAUCUAAAAGGUUGCUGGAUCGAAUCCCUGAGCUGACAAGGCUACUGUCUCUUAUGACCGAAAAUAACUUCUGGACAUCAGACCAGCGAUUACUCACCAUGAACUGGUAGAAGCUUUUUCCUUUAAUUAGUCCGACAUGAAGGAUAUCCUGCUUUCCCGGGAACAGGGCCAAAUCCCAGUCAUUUGCGUGAAGAGAAGAUGCGUUGGUGAGCAAGUAAAACCCCAUUGCCAUCUGUUCUAUUGGCAAACUUGCAAUUAAUGGAAAAUAAAAUCUAUGACCUACGAGCAAGAUUAAACUACCAACAGGACAUUAAAAACUGUAAUAUCUUAUGUUUCACCGAGUCGUGGCUGAACGACCACAUGAACAACAUGCAGCUGGUGGGUUUUACACUAUCGGUAGGAUAGAACAGCAGCCUCUGGCAAGACAAGGGGGGAUGGUCUAUGUAUAUUUGUAAACAACAAGUCUCAAGGUUUAAUGCAGGGAAACUGAAAUUAUUUUUACCAAUUUUCCACCAGCAUGUUAAAUUUGCAAUCAGAGGGCAAAAAAACACUUUUACUCCACACACAGAAAUGCGUACAAAGCUCUCCACCGCCCUCCAUUAGACAAAUCUGACCGUAAUUCUAUCCUCCUGAUUCCUGCUUACAAGCAAACAUUAAAGCAGGAAGCACCAAUGACUCUGUCAAUAAAAAAGUGAUCAGAUGAAGCAGAUGCUAAGCUAAAGGACUGUUUUGCUAUCACAGACUGGAAUAUGUUCCGGGAUUCUUCCGAUGGCAUUGAGGAGUAUACCACAUCAGUCACUGGCUUCAUCAAUAAGUGCAUCGAUGACUUCAUCCCCACAGUGACUGUACGUACAUACCCAAACCAGAAGCCAUGGAUUACAGGCAACAUCCGCACUGAGCUAAAGGCCAGAGCUGCUGCUGUCAAGGAGCAGGAUUCUAACUCGGAUGCUCCGAUGAACCAUCAAACAGGCAAGGAGUCAAUACAGGACUAAGUUCUAAUCGUACUACACCGGCUCCGACGCUCGUCAUUGCGAACUAUUACAGACUACAAAGGAAGCACAGCCAAGAGCUGCCCAGUGACACGAGCCUACCAGACAAGCUUAAAUUACUUCUAUGCUCGCUUCGAGGCAAAUAUUUCCAACCCUCUCAUCUGAGCACUAGCGUGUUGAUGUUAGACAGGUAAAUUGCCAAACCUGUCACGCCCACUCCCAGGCGCACAAGGGCACCAGGCUGCCCAUCAUUAUGCACACCUAUCACCAUCAUUACGCGCAUCAGCGCUUCAUUGGACUCACCUGGACCCCUUCACUUUGUUUAUUGCCCCCUCUAAAUCUGUCUGUUCCUCAGUUUGAUCCCUGUGUCAGCAUUAAUGUUGUUUUGUUUCCCCUGUCCAGACUGUCACAAACCUGCUCAAAGCCCGUAACUAAAGGGAGACAACGUGGAGAUAAGGAGUAACAAAACAUAUAUUUAUUAAAUAAAGUAAACUAAGUACAAUAUACAAUGGUGUGUGUAAUCAGUAAUCAGUAGUGUAAGUGAGUGCUUUGCAUUCAUGAAUGUGAUAAUGCAGGGUGUUGAAAGGUGCCAAAGCAAACAACCAAAAACCACCAAGAUACACAACAAAAUCUAUAAAGGUGUCUGCAUGGAGAGUCUCCUCUAUGAAUGGGGAAGUGAUGUAUUUAUCCUGGGACACACCGGGCCCAGGUGUUUCCCAUGUAGCUGACGACCCUCCCAACUCCGCCCACCGGCAUCCUAAUAAGGAAACAAGAACAAAGAGAGAAUACGGCAGACAGAGCGGGAGUGUCGUCACAAGACACUGUCCGUGUUCUGUUUCAUGUCCGUUGUUUAUUAAAUGUUCACUCCCUGUACUUGCUUCUCAUCUCCCAGCCUCUGUCCUCACAGAAUGCUGACACCAAUAUUGGAAGCAUCAAGGAGUUUUGUUUUUUGUUUUGAUUGGUGACGUCGGGUGAGGGUCCUGCUGCCUAAUAUACCGGGGGUGCCUCGGCUGGCUCGUCAGGCUUCCACACCUUAACUGGCUCAAGAGGUUUCCUUGCCUCGGUUGGCUAGGAAAGCUCCCACCCCACGUCAUGCCUCAGCCCGUUUGUCAGGCUCCCACACCUCAGCCGGCUCAUCGGGCGGACUCAAGCACCCCAGCCGGUUUGUCAGGCUCCCACACCUCAGCCGGCUCAUCGGGCGGACUCAAGCGCCUCAGACGGCUUGUCGGGCUUCCACUCCUUAGCUGGCUCGUCAGGCUCCCACGCCUCAGCCGGCUUCCAUGCCGGCAUGUCAGGCUCGCCCAGGUGGGACGCUGGGUGGCACAGCUAGAGAGGGGGGUACUGUCACACCUGCCCCUGAUGGGCGCCAGGCUGCCCAUCAUUUCGCACACCUGUCAGCACCUUUACGCGCAUCAGCGCUUCAUUGGACUCACUUUGUUGAUGGCCCCCUCUAUGUCUGUCUGUUCCUCAGUUAAUGUCAACAUUAAUGUUGUUUUGUUUCCCCUUUUCCAGACGCUGUCCGUGUUCUGUUUCAUGUCCGUUGUUUAUUAAAUGUUCACUCCCUGUACAUGCUUCCCGUCUCCCAGUGUCUGUCCUCACAGAACCUGGCGUUUGGGCUGGAAAAUGCCACUAUGACAGUUUUUACAUGACGAAAUUGCAAACAAACUUGUGUUUGAAACUAGUUAAAAAUAGAGCCCUAAAAGCAUAAACAUUUUAGUAUUUGUGUUAGCACCACAGGGAUGAGACUAUGGAUUAAUUCCAGCGAUAAAACUCCAAAAGGUCCCUGUUUCGAUUCCCCUUGCGGCUAUCAACAAAAAGGUAAACUAUGGUUGCAGAAUAUUAAUCUAAUAAAAUGUAAUGAGAUUGCAAAAAAAUGCUGUGUAUUUCAACAUCAACUGGUGUACAACAAAAUUCCUCAACAGUAAGAUGGCACGAAUACAUAAAAGAAACCUCAAUGGACUGUUCAACUUAUUUUUAUCAUUCUGUGAACAUAGGACUAAAAUUCUAACAACAUUGAGGGAAUGCUUGGUAAAACCUAAAUAUAAUAUUUUGGGAAUCUUUAAAGCAGAGGUGUCAAACUCAUUCCAUGGAGUGCCUACUAUCUACAGGCUUUGUUUUUUCCUUUCAAUUAAGCCCUAGACAGCCAGGUGUGGGGAGUUUCUCACUAAUUAGUGACCUUAAUUUGUAAAUUAAGUGGCAGCUGCCAUUUCAUUACAGCUUUCAGAUGCAGUUUAUCAUAUCUCACUACGCUUUAUUACGAGCCACAAUUUUAGUUCUCGUCACACAAUUCUCUACCAGAAUGUUCGGUUGGCCCCUCUUCAAUGUCACGUUGGUUAUAUUGCUAUGUUUCCUUUCUAAAGCCCUUUUACAAAAAGUCCCACUGUACCUAACAUCAUUACUAAACUUUAGACAUAUGAGUAAUUAUUAUAAUUUUGGGGGGGAGUUACCACAUCCAGUCUCAGGGAUGGCUAACUCUGGAAAUUCCUUUUGGUCUCUACUGAGUUAGGUAAAUCAGCUUGGAGUUUUCUUGCACUUUAUUUGUGUAACAAUCUUAAACACCCAAAACAACAUGCAGGGAACAUUCCCACAAGACUCUCAAAGUUAUAGUGUCAUGUUAUGACAUGAUUGUUUAAAUAAUUUUCCUGAACAAACAAUUUUCCUGAUAGGAACAUUCCAGUAAUGUUUGGUUCUGAGAAAACAUUACUGAAAGUAUUGCUGUGUAAUAUUAUAUGAAGCUUCCAAACUUUUAAACUUAGCCUACAAAUGGCAUUUUAAUCUUCUUGCAUAAUUAUAUUUUAUUAGGGUAUUGUCCAAAUGUAGUUCAUUUUGUAAAGAUCAUCAAAGAGAUUUGAACCUGGGAACUACCACGUUCCACUUCUGAACUAAACCCGCUAUGUCCCUGGGAUUUAGAGCUGAGCACAUUCAUCAAUCUUUACAUAUACUGUAUAACCCAUACAGUCUAAGAAUUCCAAGUCUUAGUAUUUGCGUUUGGACAUAAGAGGAUAUCAAAUCGAGAGAAAAAAGUAAUUGUUAACUCAUAAGUAUCCCAAUCCCAAUUGCAUUUCCCUUUGCACUAAAAUUAAGUUUCAUAUGUUUUAGUAGAUAUGCACAUCUAUUUACAGCUCACCAAUAAUCAGUCAGGCAAUAUUUUAACAUUAUUAUGAUUCUAAAAUAAAGUUUGCAAGUAAAAUCAAAGUCGAAACAUCUGAAACUUACAGUAUAUAAAGAUUUUGGUUAGAGUAAGUAGGGGCCACUUAUUUUUUCUUGAUUUAGUUAUCUUAUCUCUGCAAAAACAAAGACUGCAUCCUGGAAGUCAGACUACAUGUACAAACAGUUUAGUAUUUGUGUUAGUCCCAUCCCUGUGGUGCUGUGUAUUAAUUCCAGAGAUAAAACCCCAAAGGUCCUAGGUUUGAUCCCCGCUUGCGGUUAUCAAAAAAAAAAGAAGGUAAAACUAUGUUUGCAGAAUAAUAAUCUAAUAACAUGUCAUGUGAUUACCAAAAAUUGCCAUGAGUGUUUCUACAUGAACUGUUGUACAAAAAAAAUAUUCAAGAGUUUAUAUGGCUGCAAUACAUGAAAGAAACCUCAAUGGACAGUUCAACUUCUUUUGAUCUUUCGGUCCCGUUCUGUGAGCUUGUGUGGCCUACCGUUUCGCAGCUGAGCCUUUGUUGCUCCUAGAAGUUUCCACUUCACAGUAACAGCACUUACAGUUGACCGGGGAAGCUCUAGCAGGACAUACAUUUGGAACUGACCUUUUGGAAAGGUGGCGUCCUAUGAUGGUGCCGCGUUCUUCAGUAAGGACUACUGCCAAUGUUUGUCUAUGGAGAUUGCAUGGCUGUGUGCUUGAUUUUACACACCUGUUAGCAACGGGUGUGACUGAAAUAGCCGGAUCCACAUACUUUUGCAUAUAUAGUGUAUGUCAGGAGCUCCUCCAGUUAAUCUUCCGGGCGCUGAAAGAACCGGGUAUGCAGUAUACCCAUCAGUAAGGGUCGGCAGGGUAGCCUAGUGGUUAGAGUGUUGGACUAGUAACCGGAAGGUUGCAAGUUCAAACCCCUGAGCUGACAAGGUACAAAUCUGUUGUUCUGCCCCUGAACAGGCAUUCAACCCACUGUUCCUAGGCCGUCAUUGAAAAUAAGAAUUUGUUCUUAACUGACUUGCCUAGUUAAAUAAAGAUUUUAAAAGCAUCAUAUUAGGUGCACUUCCACAAAGACUUGUUUGCAGUCUGUCGAUGUGGCAAGAUAUUUUUUACAAGAAUAAUGAAUGCUGAGAGUAGCAGUGCAGUAUCUUUUUAAGUAGAAUAUUUGGAUUAUUAGCAUAUGAACGACUUGCAAUUCAAUUGCUGGAGUAUCGAGGCCAUCCAUCCAGCCCAUGUAUUCAGAUCCGGCAGUUCAAAGAAGGUUCAAAGGUAAUCAAUUGGGCCUAGUUAUUGUUCAUUAGCAGCAUUCAUUCUCUUAAAAUAGCCUAUACUCUUCUUGUGCAUUGUACUGUAUAGCCCCUACUGUACUGUUUGUCUGUCUGGACUGUCUGCUUGUCUUGGUGCGAAUGUUAAGUUAAUAAAAUAGUCUUCUUUA